GACGAACGCUGGCGGCGUGCUUAACACAUGCAAGUCGAACGGAAAGGCCCUGCUUUUGUGGGGUGCUCGAGUGGCGAACGGGUGAGUAACACGUGAGUAACCUGCCCUUGACUUUGGGAUAACUUCAGGAAACUGGGGCUAAUACCGGAUAGGAGCUCCUGCUGCAUGGUGGGGGUUGGAAAGUUUCGGCGGUUGGGGAUGGACUCGCGGCUUAUCGGCUUGUUGGUGGGGUAGUGGCUUACCAAGGCUUUGACGGGUAGCCGGCCUGGGAGGGUGACCGGCCACAUUGGGACUGGGAUACGGCCCAGACCCCUACGGGAGGCAGCAGUGGGGAAUAUUGCACAAUGGGCGGAAGCCUGAUGCAGCAACGCCGCGUGCGGGGUGACGGCCUUCGGGUUGUAAACCGCUUUCGCCUGUGACGAAGCGUGAGUGACGGUAAUGGGUAAAGAAGCACCGGCUAACUACGUG
rnacentral:rRNA from 1 species